rnacentral:rRNA from 1 species
UACGGGGGGGGCAAGCGUUGUUCGGAAUUACUGGGCGUAAAGGGCUCGCAGGCGGCCAACUAAGUCAGACGUGAAAUCCCUCGGCUUAACCGGGGAACUGCGUCUGAUACUGGAUGGCUUGAGUUUGGGAGAGGGAUGCGGAAUUCCAGGUGUAGCGGUGAAAUGCGUAGAUAUCUGGAGGAACACCGGUGGCGAAGGCGGCAUCCUGGACCAACACUGACGCUGAGUGAGCGAAAGCCAGGGGAGCAAACGGG